rnacentral:rRNA from 1 species
GAUCCUGGCUCAGGAUGAACGCUGACAGAAUGCUUAACACAUGCAAGUCGACUCGAGUCUUCGGACUUGGGUGGCGGACGGGUGAGUAACGCGUAAAGAACUUGCCUCAUAGUCUGGGACAACAUCUGGAAACGGAUGCUAAUACCGGAUAUUAUGCUUUCUUCGCAUGGAGGAAGUAUGAAAGCUAUAUGCGCUAUGAGAGAGCUUUGCGUCCCAUUAGCUAGUUGG